CACAGGAGAACAGUUAGGAGUUUGUGAACCUGACGUGGACGAGACGCAGCUUUAAAACAUGCGGAGAAAAGUGUCAGUGAGCAACAGAAGAUGCAACAAUAGACUGCAACGAUAACAUGCUGCUAACGCCUCUGUCUUGUGCCCUGGACAGGAUAUCAUCUUAUACUGUAAGUUUGUUAUAGAGACACUACAGUAUAGAUGAUGUACUAUCCAGGGUUUCAUUCCCGCUCUGGAUCCUAUCAGCACGCACUCAGGCUCAACUGACUGCCGGCUGCACCGCCCUACAGAGGAGGGCCGUCAAACCGUUACCAUUACUGAGUUUAAGUAAUCGUAAGGGUUCCAUGGCCCUCGCUCAAUGACAUCAGGACCAAGCAGGAGACGGCCGUGAUGGACGUGUUAUUAAUGAGCUUCUGAUGCCAUUCUUAGACGUACUUGUGGAUGCAUGUGAAAUAAAGAUUAUAUGUCAA